UAAUACGGAGGUGGCAAGCGUUGUUCGGAUUUAUUGGGUGUAAAGGGUAUGUAGGCGUCCCUACAAGUCGAUUGUGAAAUCCCUCAGCUUAACUGAGGAACUGCUUUCGAAACUGUGGGGAUUGAGUAUGGGAGAGGAGAAUGGAAUUCCCGGUGUAAGGGUGAAAUCUGUAGAUAUCGGGAGGAACACCAGUGGCGAAAGCGGUUCUCUGGCCCAAUACUGACGCUGAAAUACGAAAGCUAGGGGAGCAAACAGAAUUAGAUACUCUGGUAGUCCUAGCCGUAAACGAUGGACACUAGGUGUAGGGCGAAAGCUCUGUGCCGCAGUUAACACACUAAGUGUCCCACCUGGGGAGUACGGCGGCAACGCUG
rnacentral:rRNA from 1 species